CCGCCCAUAGCUCAGUUGGUAGAGCAACGGCCUUUUAAGCCGCGGGUCGAAGGUUCGAAUCCUUCUGGGCGGA
rnacentral:tRNA from 2 species